GGCGCAGCAGUCGGGAAUUUUGGACAAUGGGCGAAAGCCUGAUCCAGCAAUGCCGCGUGCAGGAAGAAGGCCUUCGGGUUGUAAACUGCUUUUGUACGGAGCGAAAAGGCUCUCUCUAAUACAGGGGGCUCAUGACGGUACCGUAAGAAUAAGCACCGGCUAACUACGUGCCAGCAGCCGCGGUAAUACGUAGGGUGCAAGCGUUAAUCGGAAUUACUGGGCGUAAAGCGUGCGCAGGCGGUUUUGUAAGACAGGCGUGAGAUCCCCGGGCUCAACCUGGGAAUGGCGCUUGUGACUGCAAAGCUGGAGUGCGGCAGAGGGGGAUGGAAUUCCGCGUGUAGCAGUGAAAUGCGUAGAUAUGCGGAGGAACACCGAUGGCGAAGGCAAUCCCCUGGGCCUGCACUGACGCUCAUGCACGAAAGCGUGGGGAGCAAACAGGAUUAGAUACCCCCGUA
rnacentral:rRNA from 1 species